rnacentral:tRNA from 1 species
AUUCAAAUAGCUUAAGUUAAGAGCAUAGCUUUGAAGCAGCUAAGGUAAUUUUUAAUUUUUGAAUA